rnacentral:tRNA from 1 species
UCCCUGGUAGUCUAGUGGUUAGGACUCAGUGCUUUCACUACUAUGGCCCAGGUUAAAUCCUUGGUCUGGGAA